rnacentral:rRNA from 1 species
UACAGAGGGUGCUAGCGUUGUUCGGAAUCAUUGGGCGUAAAGGGCGUGUAGGCGGUUUGCUAAGUCAUGUGUGAAAUCCCUCGGCUCAACCGGGGAACGACGCAUGAAACUGGCAAGCUAGAGUACCAAAGAGGGGGGUGGAAUUCCCGGUGUAGCGGUGAAAUGCGUAGAUAUUGGGAGGAACACCAGAUGCGAAGGCGGGUCACUGGGCUGAUACUGACGCUGAAGCGCGAAAGCCAGGGGAGCGAACGGG